rnacentral:rRNA from 1 species
UACGGGGGGGGCAAGCGUUGUUCGGAAUUACUGGGCGUAAAGGGUCGGUAGGUGGCCAACUAAGUCAGACGUGAAAUCCCUCAGCUUAACUGGGGAACUGCGUCUGAGACUGGAUGGCUCGAGUGCAGGAGAGGAAUGCGGAAUUCCAGGUGUAGCGGUGAAAUGCGUAGAUAUCUGGAGGAACACCGGUGGCGAAGGCGGCAUUCUGGACUGCAACUGACACUGAACGACGAAAGCCAGGGGAGCAAACGGG